rnacentral:rRNA from 1 species
AGUGAACGCUGGCGGUAGGCCUAACACAUGCAAGUCGAACGGCAGCACAGGAGAGCUUGCUCUCUGGGUGGCGAGUGGCGGACGGGUGAGGAAUACAUCGGAAUCUACUUUUUCGUGGGGGAUAACGUAGGGAAACUUACGCUAAUACCGCAUACGACCUACGGGUGAAAGCAGGGGAUCUUCGGACCUUGCGCGAUUGAAUGAGCCGACGUCGGAUUAGCUAGUUGGCGGGGUAAAGGCCCACCAAGGCGACGAUCCGUAGCUGGUCUGAGAGGAUGACCAGCCACACUGGAACUGAGACACGGUCCAGACCCCUACGGGAGGCAGCAGUGGGGAAUAUUGGACAAUGGGCGCAAGCCUGAGCCAGCCAUACCGCGUGGGUGAAGAAGGCCUUCGGGUUGUAAGGCCCUUUUGUUGGGAAAGAAAUCCAGCUGGCUAAUACCCGGGUGGGAUGACGGUACCCAAAGAAUAAGCACCGGCUAACUUCGUGCCAGCCGCCGCGGUAA